rnacentral:rRNA from 1 species
UACGGAGGGUGCAAGCGUUAUCCGGAUUCACUGGGUUUAAAGGGUGCGUAGGUGGGUUGGUAAGUCAGUGGUGAAAUCUCCGAGCUUAACUUGGAAACUGCCAUUGAUACUAUUAAUCUUGAAUACCGUGGAGGUCAGCGGAAUAUGUCAUGUAGCGGUGAAAUGCUUAGAUAUGACAUAGAACACCAAUUGCGAAGGCAGCUGGCUACACGAAUAUUGACACUGAGGCACGAAAGCGUGGGGAUCAAACAGGAUUAGAAACCCCUGUAGU